UAGCAUGGAAUAAUAAAAUAGGACGUGCGGUCCUAUUUUGUUGGUUCUAGGAUCGCCGUAAUGAUUAAUAGGGAUAGUUGGGGGCAUUCGUAUUCAAUUGUCAGAGGUGAAAUUCUUGGAUUUAUUGAAGACGAACUACUGCGAAAGCAUUUGCCAAGGAUGUUUUCAUUGAUCAAGAACGAAGGUUAGGGGAUCGAAAACGAUCAGAUACCGUUGUAGUCUUAACAGUAAACUAUGCCGACUAGGGAUCGGACGAGGUUUUUAAUGACUCGUUCGGCACCUGAAGAGAAAUCUUUAAGUCAGGUUCGGGGGGGAGUAUGGUCGCAAGGCUGAAACUUAAAGGAAUUGACGGAAGGGCACCACCAGGUGUGGAGCCUGCGGCUUAAUUUGACUCAACACGGGGAAACUCACCAGGUCCAGACACGACAAGGAUUGACAGAUUGAUAGCUCUUUCUUGAUUUCGUGGUUGGUGGUGCAUGGCCGUUCUUAGUUGGUGGAGUGAUUUGUCUGGUUAAUUCCGAUAACGAACGAGACCUUAACCUGCUAAAUAGCCCGGCCGACUUUGGUUGGUCGUGGCUUCUUAGAGGGACUAUCAGCUCUAGCUGAUGGAAGUUUGAGGCAAUAACAGGUCUGUGAUGCCCUUAGAUGUUCUGGGCCGCACGCGCGCUACACUGACCGAACCAGCGAGUAAUCACCUUGGCCGGAAGGCCUGGGUAAUCUUGUGAAAUUCGGUCGUGAUGGGGAUAGAGCAUUGCAAU
rnacentral:rRNA from 1 species